UUUGCGACGCCAUCCGCGCCUCUUCGAGGCGGCCUCUGGACCGGCUUUAGGACUCCGCGCUUUUGCGGAGCUCGAGAGUCCGGAGCGGCUGGGACAAGGUAGACCCAGGAUAUCGACCUUAACUGCGUUUUCAGUUUGGAGGUUGUAAAAUAGGUAUAACGUUUAAGAAAAAAAUUUGAAAGCAAUGUUUCACAAAGCCCCUGACUCAUUGACCGUUAGCAGACUUGCGGAAGAAUGCCUUGAAGACCAUGAGCAGGAUAGGGAACAGGUUCUCACAUCUCUUGCCUGAAUCACUGAAUUUUUACAAAAGAGAGGUUCAAUUAAGAGGUUGAAAAGCUGCAGGAAGAAAUUUAAGCUGAAUUGAAAUGAGGGAGUAACAUCAGCAAGAUGAUGAAAAUGGAAGAUCCCCUACUAUCACUCCCUGCAAAAAAAUACAACUAGAAACUACUUAAAGAUGAGAACGCAACCCUGAGUUCACCACAAUUCAAGGGAGAAUUGAAGAAACCUCCGGGGCCCUCAGAAAUGAGAGAAGCUGUGACAGGUAAGAAAAAUGGCCAUUUCAGACAUCACAGCCCCCUCCAUCAAGCUGGCAUAAUGCCACUCAUAGAGAAUUUUCCUAGACUCGUGGUUUCUGAGGUAAGAAGAGGGAGUUGGAAGUGGACAUAGAAGUGGACAUACGAUCUCCCCACCAGUCUCAGAAUCUUCUCAGGAAGACCACUUUUGCCCCAUCCUAUGGAACAAUGGGAGUGCCAGAGGGCUGAAUUACAUGGGAUGAACUGAGACAAAGAGUGGGACACUGAUCAUAGCAACUGGCAUGUGGAUCUUGGCAGUUACUCUUCACUCCAGUAUGGACACCACAUUGAAGAGACUGGCUGGCACUAUAGUGCUUUUGUGGACACAGUCUGUGAGAAGGCCUGAAUCCCUGGCCAGAUUUCAACAAAGACUAGGUGUUCCCAUGGAGCCUCCACUGGAUCAGAAACAACUAGAAACAUUGGGACUGAGUUCCAGUGACUGCUUAAGUCUUCCACAAACUGGGAGACAGUGGCAGGGCAGCAAUAUAGCUCCAGGGCAUUGUUAACUUAGUGCUCACUAUAAGUCUUCCCCAGACUGGGAAACAGUGGCAGGAUGAAAGUUAGUUCCAGUGCAGUGAUUUAGUUCUGGUACUCACUAUAAAUUCUCCCUACCCCAGAAAAUAAUAAUAAUAAUAAUAAUAAUAAUAAUAAUAUCAGCAGUUAAGUUCUGAUACUAAGUAAUAAAGGUCUAACACCAAAGAACACACCUGCAAGAACUGGAAGAGGUAGCUAUCUCCUGAAAUGUGCAGGUAUUAAGGCAAAGCCACAAGAACUGUAAAAACUCAGAGAAAUAUGACCUUACCAAAAGAAAUCAACAAAGCUCCCACAAUGGAGCCAGAAGAAGUGAAGAUCUAGGAAAUGUUAAAUAGACAAUUCAAAAUAACCUUCUUAAAUUUAGAGAAUCACAAGAAAAUAUGGAUAGAAAAAAAAAUAAAAUUUGGAAAGUGACCCAGUAACAAAAUGAGAUAUUUGACAAAGAAAUUAAAUAAGAAAUGAAACAAACAAAUCCUUUAUUUCUAGGAUUUCUCUGUUUCUAGAAACCCUAGAAAUAAAGGACACAAUAACUAAACUGAAAAACUCAUUAGAAAGUUUUAACAGCAGACUUGAUUAGGGAAAAGAAUUAGUAAGUUUGAAGACAGCACAUAUGAAAUUACCUAAUCAGAGGAGAAAAAAAGACAAAAGAAUUUGAAAGUGUAAAGAGGAACUUUUUAAGAAUUAUGGCACAUGAUCAAGCAAACUAACCUCUGCAUAGUAGGAAUUCCCAAAGGAGGCAAGAGAGAAAAAGUCCUGGAAGACAUAUUUAACAAAACAAUGGUGAAAAUUUCCCAAAGAUGGAGAAAGAGAACACCAUUCAGAUACAGAAAUCUCAGAGGUCAUCAAUCAAAUUAAACCCAAAGAGGUAAUCCCUAAGGCAUAUCAUAAUCAAAUUAGCAAAAAAUCAGAGACAAAAAAAUACUCACUGCAGCAAAAGAAAAGAAAAAUAUUACAUUAAACAAAGCACCAAUACAGCUUUCACUGGAUUUCACAGCAGAAAUCCUACAGGCCAGGUAAGAAUGGGAUGCUUGAAAGUGCUGAAAGAAAAAAAAAAACUGCCAACCAAGAAUAAUGUGUCCAGCAAAGCUAUUAAAACAAGAAGACAGAUAAAGACUUUCCCAGACAAACAAAAACUGAGGGAAUUUGUCAACACCAGACCUGUGUUACAAGACAUGCUAAAGAGAGUUCUUCAAUCUGAAAGAAAUGUAUGCUAACAUGUAACAAGAAACAAUCUGCAGGUAUGAAACUCGUUGGUAAAAGAAAGAAAACAGACCAAUUCAGAAUACACCAAUAGUGAAAUUAGGAUAAGUAAAUGACCUAUAUCUUAAAUAUGAAGAUUAAAAGACAAAACCACUAAAAAGAAUAAUGGCAACAAUUUAUUAAGAGAUGCACAAUGCAAAAAAAGUAAACUGAAACACAAAAAAAGCCAAAACAUGGUGAGAGGAUGGUAUUGAAGUGUAGAGUUUGUUGUUUCUUAUAUUUUCUUUGCAAUAAAAUAUAAGUCACUAUCAGUUUAAAAUAACCUAUUAUAAAUAUAAGAGGGUUUUUGUAAGCCUCAUGUUAACCAUAAAGCAAAAACCUACAAUAUAUAUACUCAAAAUAAAUAGCAUGAAAUAAAAAUGUACUACUAGUGGAAAUCACUUAACCACAAAGGAAGAGAGUGAGAGACGAAAAAGGGAAGAAUUCACAAAACAGCAAGAAAUCAAGUAACAAAAUGGCAGUAGUAAACCCUUACUAUGAAUAAUGACUUUGAAUGUAAAUGGAUCAAAUUGUCCAACCAAAAGACAUAGAAUGGCAAGAUUCAACUGUAUGCUAUCUACAAGUACUUCACUUAAUCUAUAAAGACAUUCACAGACUAAAAGUGAAGGAAUGAAAAAAGAUAUUUCAUGCAAAUAGAAACCAAAAAGGAGCAGGUAUAGGUUUACUAAUAUCAGAUAAACUAGACUUGAAGCCAAGAGUCAUUUUUAAAAUGACAAAAAAGAAGGCCAUUAUUUAAUGAUAAAGGGGACAGUACAGCAACAAUACAUAACAAUUGUAAAUAUAUAUGUACCCAAUACUGGAGCACACAAAUAUGUAAAAAAGUUAAUAGACCUAAAGGGAGAGAUUGACUACAAUAAACAGUAGUAGGAGAUUUCAACGCCCCCAUUUUCAGUGAUGGCUAGAUCACUCAGACAGAAAAGUAACAAAGAAACAUUGGAGUUAAACUGAACUCUAGACCAAGGGAACAUAACAGAUAUUUUAUGUUAUGCUAUAUUUUAUUUUAUUUGAUGUUACAGAUAUUACAGAACAUUCCAUCCAACAGCUGCAGAAUACACAUUUUUCUCAACAGCACAUAGAAGAUUAUCCAGGACAGAUCAUAUGUUAGGUCCCAAAACAAGUCUUGACACAUUUUUUAAAAAUCCAAAUCAUAUCAAGUGCAUUUCUUACCACAAUUAUUCCAAUUAUUCCACCAUUCUGGAAUAAAACUAGAAACCAGUUUUUUAAAAAGGAACACUGGAAAUUGUACAAACUCAUGGAAAUUAAACAACAUACUCCUGAACACUGAAUGGGUCAAUGAAGAAAUUAAAAGGAAAUUUAAAAUUACCUUCAGACAGAUGAAAAUGGAAACAUGACAUACCAAAACCUAUGUAAUAUAUCAAAGCAGUUCUAAUAGCAGUUCUGCAGCAAUAAAUGCCUACAUCAAAAAAGCAGAAAGACUUCAAAUAAACAACCUAAAGAUCACCUCAAGGAACUAGACAAGCAAAAACAAACCGUACUCAUAAU